GGCCUACCAUGGUGGUAACGGGUAACGGGGUGUUAGGGCACGACACCGGAGAGGGAGCCUGAGAAACGGCUACCACAUCCAAGGAUGGCAGCAGGCGCGCAAAUUACCCAAUCCCGACACGGGGAGGUAGUGACAAUAAAUAACAAUACGGGGCUCUUUUGGGUCUCGUAAUUGGAAUGAGUACAAUUUAAAUCUCUUAACGAGGAACAAUUGGAGGGCAAGUCUGGUGCCAGCAGCCGCGGUAAUUCCAGCUCCAAUAGCGUAUAUUAAAGUUGUUGCAGUUAAAAAGCUCGUAGUUGAAUUUCGGGGUCAGUAGGUUGGUCGUGCCUAUGGUAUGUACUGGCUUUACUGAUUCCUCCUUCUUGAAGAACUGUAAUGUCAUUAAUUUGGUGUUGCAGGGAAACAGGACUGUUACUUUGAAAAAAUUAGAGUGUUUAAAGCAGGCUAACGCUUGAAUACAUUAGCAUGGAAUAAUGAAAUAGGACGUUCGAUCCUAUUUUGUUGGUUUCUAGGAUUGACGUAAUGAUUAAUAGGGAUAGUUGGGGGCAUUAGUAUUCAAUUGUCAGAGGUGAAAUUCUUGGAUUUAUUGAAGACUAACUACUGCGAAAGCAUUUGCCAAGGAUGUUUUCAUUAAUCAAGAACGAAAGUUAGGGGAUCGAAGACGAUCAGAUACCGUCGUAGUCUUAACCAUAAACUAUGCCGACUAGGGAUCAGAUGAUGUUAAUUUUUUAAUGACUCAUUCGGCGCCUUACG
rnacentral:rRNA from 1 species